rnacentral:rRNA from 1 species
AACUCACAGGGUAGCGGUGGAAUGCGUAGAUACUGUGAGGUACCCCGAUGGCGAAGGCAACCCUCUGGCCUGUUACCGACGCUGAAGCGCGAAAGCGUGGGGAGCGAAGGGGAUUAGAUACCCCCGUAGUCCACGCCGCAAACGAUGUUCACUGGGUGUCGGUCAUUAAUUAGAUCGGUGCCGGAGCUAACGCAUUAAGUGAACCGCCUGAGGACUACGGCCGCAAGGCUAAAACUCAAGAGAAUUGACGGGGCCCUGCACAAGCGGUGGAGCACGUGGUUUAAUUCGAUGAUAAGCGAAGAACCUUACCUGGGCUUGACAUACUAGCAGUAGGAGCCAGAGAUGGUAACGACCCCUACUUUUGGUAGGGGAACUAGUACAGGUGAUGCAUGGCUGUCGUCAGCUCGUGUCGUGGGACGUUGGGUUAAGUCCCGAAACGAGCGCAACCCCUGUUGUUAGUUGCCAGCGGGUAAUGCCGGGGACUCUAACAAGACUGCUGGUGAAUAGCCGGAGGAAGGAGGGGAUGACGUCAAGUCAUCAUGUCCCUUAUGUCCAGGGCGACACACAUGCUACAAUGGGAGGUACAAAGGGCUGCUAAACCGUAAGGUCAUGCGAAUCCCAGAAAGCCUUCCUUAGUUCGGAUUGAGGUCUGCAACCCGACCUCAUGAAGCCGGAAUCGCU